CGGAAAAGCGCAGUAUUCGGGUGGGAGUGGCCUGAUUUUCCAGGUGUUGUCUGUCACCCCUUUCUCUGACUAGGAAAGGGAACUCCCUGACCCCUUGCUCUUCCCGAGUGAGGCAAUGCCUCGCCCUGCUUCAGCUCGCGCACGGUGCGCGCACCCACUGACCUGCGCCCACUGUCUGGCACUCCCUAGUGAGAUGAACCCGGUACCUCAGAUGGAAAUGCAGAAAUCACCCGUCUUCUGCGUCGCUCACGCUGGGAGCUGUAGACCGGAGCUUAUUCGGCCAUCUUGGCUCCUCCGUUCCCUCUAUGUCUUUUUCCUCUGCUUGUAUGAUGACUCCAGACCUCCAUCUAAAUUUUCAACAGGUUGUCUUUCAUGUCUACCCAG
rnacentral:lncRNA from 1 species